AUUGAACGCUAGCGGCAGGCUUUACACAUGCAAGUCGAACGGAGUGGCGGACGGGUGAGUAAUAUAUCGGAACCUGCCCAGUAGCGGGGGAUAACUACUCGAAAGAGUGGCUAAUACCGCAUACUAUCGGAGCUGCCGAGAUGGGAUUAGCUAGUAGGUGGGGUAAAGGCUCACCUAGGCAACGAUCCGUAGCUGGUCUGAGAGGUUGACCAGCCACACUGGAACUGAGACACGGUCCAGACUCCUACGGGAGGCAGCAGUGGGGAAUAUUGGACAAUGGGGGAAACCCUGAUCCAGCCAUCCCGCGUGUAUGAUGAAGGCCUUCGGGUUGUAAAGUACUUUUGGCGGAGAAGCGGUAUCCGCAGAAGAAGCACCGGCUAACUACGUGCCAGCAGCCGCGGUAAUAC
rnacentral:rRNA from 1 species